GGGGGCCUACGGGGCGCAGCAGUCGGGAAUAUUGCGCAAUGGAGGAAACUCUGACGCAGUGACGCCGCGUAUAGGAAGAAGUUUUUCGGAAUGUAAACUAUUGUCGUUAGGGAAGAGAAAGGACAGUACCUAAGGAGGAAGCUCCGGCUAACUACGUGCCAGCAGCCGCGGUAAUACGUAUGGUGCAAGCGUUAUCCGGAUUUACUGGGUGUAAAGGGAGCGCAGGCGGUUCUGCAAGUCUGAUGUGAAAGCCCGGGGCUCAACCGCGGGACUGCAUUGGAAACUGCGGGACUGGAGUGUCGGGG
rnacentral:rRNA from 1 species